GGCUGUGUGGUCUAGUGGUAUGAUUCUUGCUUAGGGUGCAAGAGGUACCAAGUUCAAUUCUCCGCACAGCUC
rnacentral:tRNA from 1 species